GACGAACCGAGCGAACGUUGUUCGGAAUAACUGGGCUUAAAGGGCGCGUAGGCGGUCCAGCAAGUCGGGUGUGAAAGCCCUCGGCUUAACCGAGGAAGUGCAUUCGAAACUACUGGACUUGAGUACUGAAGAGGAUCGCGGAAUUCCCGGUGUAGAGGUGAAAUUCGUAGAUAUCGGGAGGAACACCAGUGGCGAAGGCGGCGAUCUGGGCAGAUACUGACGCUGAGGUGCGAAAGCGUGGGGAGCAAACAGG
rnacentral:rRNA from 1 species